UCUUGGACAAUGGGGGAAACCCUGAUCCAGCCAUGCCGCGUGAGUGAUGAAGGCCUUCGGGUUGUAAAACUCUUUCGACGGGGACGAUAAUAACGGUACCCGUAGAAGAAGCUCCGGCUAACUUCGUGCCAGCAGUCGCGGUAAUACGAAGGGGGCUAGCGUUGUUCGGAAUUACUGGGCGUAAAGCGCGCGCAGGCGGCUAUCCAAGUCAGUGGUGAAAGCCCGGAGCUCAACUCCGGAACUGCCAUUGAAACUGUUUAGCUUGAGGACGAGAGAGGUGAGUGGAAUUCCCAGUGUAGAGGUGAAAUUCGUAGAUAUUGGGAAGAACACCGGUGGCGAAGGCGGCUCACUGGCUCGUAUCUGACGCUCAGGCGCGAC
rnacentral:rRNA from 1 species